rnacentral:lncRNA from 1 species
AUGGAGGAGCCGAGGCCUCCCCGCCCUCCUCGCCCUCCUCUCCUACCUGUCCCCGGGGCCGGAGGGAGGCUGUCUGGCGGCGCCGCGGCAGGAGGCGGGCGGCUGGACUCGGCGCUGCCGCCUGUGGGCGGUGCUGAGGGGGGACCCGCGCUGCGCCCCGCCCGCCGGCUGACUGGGGUUGACCUGGCCGCCACAUGCUUAAGCGACCUCAAAGGAAGAGAAGAGAAAUCUGCUAGAAUUCCGCUGAGAGCAAGAUGGGCUGUUCCUUUACGUAAGAAAGGCAGAGGAACUUCAUACAGCAAAAACUUUCCCCUAGGUGGCACCACGACCCACAGAACAGCUCACGUAGACCAGAACAAGCGACUUGUGACUGAAGAUGUGUCUGCUGAGUGAUGCAAACACAUUUUCAAACACUAUUUGGUUGCCCUUCCUUUGAACACUUGUAGCAUUUCUCCAGACAGCAUUCUUGUCCUGCUAGAUCACAAAUGCUGGUGAUUAGAACAUGGUCAACAAAUGAUUUUAGUAGUAUGAACUACUCAUUACUUGCAAAAUUAACUUGGAAGUAUCUCGUUUAGAUAAUUUAAUUCCUUUGCAUUAAAGGGAAGGAGGACACUGACACUUUGUGUCCACAGACUGUGGCAUUCUUGUGCUCGCUUGGGUAACAAAGAGCUACUGUUGUCUGUGUAAGAGCUUCAUGUUACUACAUGCUUCAUUGAGAUCCUACCAGGGCUCCCGUCCUGGUCCUGCUAUGCUGCCAGUGUUGCAAGUUUGCAUCUCUCACAUUGUUUCUCUAGCUGUUAAGUAUAAAUACCUGUGAGGUAUGUGAAAGCUCUGCUGCUCAAAUGUACUGAGAUUAAGCCUAAAGGAUUUAAGCUGAUGCUCUGAAAAGGCACAUAACCAACUCUUCUAAGAGGAAUGUGCUGUGUCAUUAACUACAUGGCUUGUAUUUAUACUCAAUCUGAAGAAAGCAUUCCAGUGCUUCUUUGGAUUAGAUGGCAAAAAAUGAUGGGGGGGGGGGGGGGGGGGGGGGGGGGGGGGGGGGAAAGGGGGGGGGAAAAAAAAAAAGGGGGAAGGAGGAGAAGCUGGAGGGGAAGGAGAAAAAAGAAAAACGCUAGUCCUAGCCCACAGCUUUGUUACAGACGUUCAUAACUGGAUAUGAGUAUGAGAUACUUUAGUAAGUAACCGAUGUCCAUGUUUAGAUUUCAUAAGGCAAGAACGUGUAUGUUGCAGUGAGCUAUUCUAGAGCCAGUGUUUCAGCCACUACUGGAACAAAAAUGGGCAUGAUAUACCUGAUGUGCUGGCACGGGAGACGGUGUUUGUCUGCAGCAGCUGCUCUGCUUUCAUGGUUCCCAAACAGCACAUGUGCUGGUUUACUUCAGGUGGAAGAAACAUUCUGUCUUCUGAGAGAUGACACUAAAAUAACAGCAGAUAUUUGGGAUAAAGAGGAAUUAUGGUUCUUUUGCAGCUAGUGUUAUGUUGAUGGUAGAGCUGAAAUUGAAAGGCAAUGUGAUAUCUACCUGCUGCCCAGUCCUACAGGUUGUUUGAGAAUUUUGGCAUAAUGCAAAUGGUGAUGGAAUUAUUCUUGUCUCCGGAUGUAAUAGUGUCUCAAAAAAUUUGAUAUUAUGAAAAACUUUUGCAGUUUUCUAUUUGAAGCAUGAUACAGUUAUGUUUUGUUGUUGUUGUUUGUUUAUGUUUGGUUUGUUUUUUAAUGGUUUUACUGAUUUUAAAAUAAAUAAAAAAUGUAUUUUGGGAGUUAAUGUGAUUAACAUAGAUCAGAACUGUGUCUUAGAAUGCUCGUCUUGCAGACUUCCACAGCCUAACUGGGUAUAAAGGAACAAUCACCAUGCAGGCAGUUUAUUUCUGCCACAUAAAAAUAUGACUUAGAAUUGACAGUAAGGAACAAAUAAAGAAAUGAAUAUGAAUGGGAAUGCUUCUAAAUCUGUAAUUCUUAGAGAAAGAAUCGUUCUUGAUUUUAAUAUCUGCAUGGUUGCAGCUGUCCUCUAUUUGCUAUCAGUUGCAGAAUCGAUGUUAGCAAAACUCUAAAAUGCUUUUUUUCCACGUAUCUUCUUCCUGCUUGUCUUCAUCUGCUAGACUGAUUUGUCAUGCCUGCCUACAUCACAAACUACCAAGGUGUAGAGCUGGCGCUGUGAAGCUGGUGUGCACAGGGUAUGUAUUGCAGGGGGUCACACUGCCUCUGAUCUAAUCCCACAGGGUCUGGUUCAUGUCCUACAAUUACUUGCUUCAAAAGAUCCUAACCUGAACUAAACCACCAGUAUAGAUGCAACCUGUAUCCACUGUAUCUGAGAGCACCAAACUGACGAUGUCCAAUAAGCAAAAUGUAGCUUAAGGUCUAUUCACACACAGAUGCUUUUGGGCAUUUUUAACAGGCCCUCAUUGCCUUGUUACGCUUCAGAAAAAGUGACAGUGCAACCUCACAACAGCGAUGGCAUGUUGGAUGCCUGUUGUGCCUAGGCUUUUUUUUGUCAGAAAGAGAAUUCUUGUUGAACAGCAAAUUCUCGUUCCUUUUCUAUCAAUAUAUUACUUUACUGCUCAUCUAAUCUGUUUUCUCAAACAGAUCUGAUUUAUGUGAUUGCUUAGUAAGGCAAAAUCUUGCCAAGUUACUUCCUUCUGUUUUAAUAAAGCGUUGAUCUUGUGAGUUGAAAUUCAUAUCUGGAAAGACAAUAUUCUUCUGCAGCUAAAUUGUGUCAUGCUAUGAUCAGCGUUGUGUUGAUCAGAAAUGUGGUGCUGGGGGCCAACAUUUCUUUCUGAGUUCUUGUUGUGGUUCCAGUUCACAGAUUUAGAGAAAGCCCUAAAAGCAGGGGAUAGUCUUUUAGACUGACUGGUCUGGUACAAAUAUUCUGUAUUUAAUAUUAAUAUUUUGUAUAAUUUCAUUCCCAAUGUGCUGCCAAUGUUUUUGCCUAGGUGAUGGUUGGAUAUUAAUGACAGAAGUAACAGUAUGUGAGACCAGGAGCUCACUUGUAAAGAAAGAGGAAGUUAGGGCUGUGUGACAGAAAAUAUGACUCUGGACCAGGCUGGUCAAAGUGUCUUUUUUGGAUAGAGAAUUCAAGCUUUGAUCUUACCUUGAGGGUGCCCAGGAUCCUGGUGCCUGUAGUGCUCCCUGACAGGGCACGGGUUCACAGGGGCUCUGUAAAAAGUCAACUCAAGUGCCACAGCAAUUGUAAGUUCAGUAUCUCUGUUUGCUUUCUUUUGUUCCUUUUAUUUUGUUUCCAUUUUGUUAUAUUAUCCUCUUAUUUCUUAAAGUUCUGUUUCUUUUGAGUUCAUUUUUUUUCAGCUUAAGCAUUUAUCAAAAGCUUGAUACUUUGUAUGAAGAAGUUCAUGUCUGUUCUUUAAAUUUAAACUUUGAUUAAGCUGUGCAUUUCCCUUAUCAGUGUUGUAUCAGUAACCUCUAUAUAUCAGUAAAUAGGGUUUUAAUAUGAAAGAUGGCAUUUAUAUGAUCAAACCACCUUGAAAAGAGAUAUUUUGAGUAGGAAUUUAGUGUGUAAAAUAAAAAUUUCAGUCUUGUUUGCUUGUUUUUUGUUUUUUUUUUUUUUUUUCUGACUUCAGUAUUUUUAUAUUUAUAUAACAACUGACAUCUUACAGUAUAGUUCCCUUAAAUAUUUUGAUUCCUUCUGUGAACAUCGGCUAGAAGGAAGGCCAACAUUUAAAAACGUGGCUACAUAAGCUUUGCCUGUGAAAAUCUGAACAUUUUUAAUGUAUGAGCUCGCUGCUGAGAGCACCGACAGAAGUUUGUGGAAUGAGUCAGUCACAGAGCGCUAUCUGGAACAUGGAGCUGGCAAGUCUCUCACUACGAGCCUCAUCACAAGGAGGUGUUACCCCCUCUGGAAGGUGGCUUUGCUCUACUUUCUCAUUAGGCAUCUGCAUGCAUGAGGAAUGGAUCUAUAGAACUAAAUAAGUAAUAAUAAUCCUCUGCGGCAUUUAAACAGCUGGCAUGCUUGAAUUUCAAGUGUGCACAGAAACUACCAGAGUAAAACCUAAAUGUAGUUAAAUCUGUGCAGAGGCUGAAAAUAGCAGAUCUAGAUAUAAAUAUUUAAACCUACUUGAAGUCUGAUAUAUCAAUUUUGGCAGAGUUGAAGACAGCAGAGCCUAACAUGCUGUUAGUGCCUGUGAAAGUGGCACGGGGCAAAUGCAGCAUACCAAGGUUUUGCGGCUUUAGAUUUCCACAAGUGAAGUGUUUCUUCACCCAGUACUUCAAAUCUAAAGCUGUAAUGGUUUUUAACCUCAGGAGCUAUGGCUUCAUGUUGCCGUGAAAGACUUUGUAGUGGCUUCACAGUCCCAGUAUUUACCUGACCAUCACCUAUUACAUAUUCCUGCUGUUUAAAAUGGUUGUAACAUAAAUUACAAGCUGCCUGAAACAUUCAUUGUCCUCUCUAUGACACGAUAUUUUUCUGCUCAAAUAAACCAAACUUCCUUAGUAACUUGUAA